UGUUGGAAGCCAUAAUUUAAGUCACUAAUUCAUCCCAUUUGUAAGGAGUCAAAUUCAGAAUUACCACCUGCAGUCAACUAUCUUGGAGAUGAGUAUAUAUUUAAUCUAGAGACACAGAGGAAAUGCUAGUUCAUUCCAAAAGUCACUUGUUUUCUACAUUAGAACAACAUGGGAAGGUCGUCAAUACAAUAGGGAUGAAGAGAGUCGAUUGGAUGCUCUAUGUUUAGCAAUGGAGCUAGGAGCUGAUCACAUCGAUGUUGAGCUUCAGGUUCCUUUUUUUCUCUCUUGGUGCAAAUGGUGCAGCUGGUCAUUACUUUCUUCGACUCAUAUAUAGGUAUAUAAAGCAUAAUUUAUUGUAAUGCAGUUAUUAACUCAGUAACAUUUAAUAAACUUAUUUUUUCUCAAAAACAGAACAAUUGAAUGAGGGCAAAUUUGUAAGAACUAAGAAGUUGGACUUACUAGGGAAAGCCUCUUUCUGUAUUAACUUCUUUAUGGAUUAAGUCAAAAAAUAGUUUGUCUUAUACUCUUAUUCUGUAUUUUAACUUAUGCAUUUGUUUUUUCAUAUAUUAUGAUAUUUUAAAUUCAUGGGAUUAUAAUGUCUUUCAGAUACACAGAUAGAAUGAAAAGUGUUGAUCAUCAAAUUACAGUGCUUUUGUAUGAUUUAUUUAUAAAAAAGUAAUGCUUGUUUUCCAGGUUGAGAAGAAGAAGAAAACAAAAACUAAAAAUUACUGGGAUUGGGAAUUGGCAAGGGAGCUUUGUAUCUUUGGUUUCCGAGAUAAGUUCUAUGAGUUUAUUCUGGUCUAUAUACACACAUGAAUAUAUGAUUAUUUCAACUCAGCAAAACAUGUGUUAAUUUUUUUUAAAAAUUGGUUCAUACAGCUUUAUAAAAUUCAGUAACCAGUCCUCCAAAUUCCUGUUUAGUUCAAAAGAAUUCUCAUCUGUUUGGUUCCUGAUUAAUCUAUUUUAUGUUGCAGAUAACAUUAUUUGCAACAUCAGAAUACAAUUUACAGAUACAAGAAUAAUAAACAAAUAAACUAAGGAACUUUGUUAUUCUGAUUACAUGACUUGUUUUUGCAGUCAACAUCUCAAAUGAAGAGCAGGCUUCUAUUAGUGUAGCUGUUCCAUCUGUACAUGAGACUGAAGGUGGUUCUGCUUCUUUAGGUCCCACUUACAGGGAUUCCUUCUU